ACGGAUCGGCGCACAGGCCGCCCCUUCAUGUGCAUGAUCAUGGCUGCUUCCGAGCCGCGUGCACUAGAUUGGGUAGCCAGUGCCAACCUGCUGGACGACAUCAUGUGAACCAUGAGACCAUUAGGCCCAGGCCCCGACCCCGAGCCCUGCCUACUCUACUCAGGCCCUGCCUGAUCCAUCAUGACCGCCCCCAGAGUCCAGACCACCUGGCUCAGCGCCUCCCAACCCCCCUGGGCCUCCCUCAGUCUUCUACAAAUUCUCUACCCUGAGCUCCACCCACUCCACACCUCUAACUUUGCCUAGGAGCCCCCACCCCCGUCCCGUUUCCAACCAGCAGCUUCUCUUCCUUUCUGUUCCUAACAGUACCACCCACAUUCCACAUCCUGGGGUCUACCCAAGCCAGUCAAGGAGUGGGGGCUCCCCAAGGGCCUGGUCCUCGCCCUCGGUGCUCCCCACUGGGAGGUGGGGUGGGACUGAGGACCGCUGGGCUCUGCCUUCUACUACACUCAUCCCUUUGGGACAAACUCCCUUGGUGUACAUUGUGGGUGCUUGCUAUAGCUCUCCAACCCUUCUAGUCCAGACAUCCAUGUUAACCAAAGCCCAACGUCCUUAUUUUAAGCACUUCCCCUCACCCUCCUGUUUGGGUUGUGUCAGGCUCAGAGGCCUACUCUCUGUGCACCCAUAUGCUGUUGAGGCGAUGGGCAUGGCCAGCACUGUCCUAUCAGUGUUGCCUGACCGUCAAUGCUCUCACCUCUGGUCACCGUAGCCUGGGCU
rnacentral:lncRNA from 1 species